GUUUUCAGUUUUAUAUGAUUCUCUAUAAGAUUGUUUUAGCAACAACUGUCUUAAAAGUUAGAAAUUUAUGUCUUUAUAACUAUGAACAAUGAGCAGUUGAAUUCUAAUAUAAAAAUUUGUGAAUGUACAGUACAACUAAAAAUCAGGAUAACGAGAGCAGUCUGAAACCAGGCCAAGUGUGGAACUUUUUAAAAAUAUUACAGGUAUCGUAUCAUUAUUGUCCACCGGUAUCAACUAAUAGUAAUACCAAAGCCGCAACUAAAAAAAAUUAGCUUCAGUCGUAAAUUCGUAGAGUAGAUUACGGAUUACUUGUAUCAAAAUUAAAUACCUUUUCAAAAAAUAUUAAAAUUAAAUACGUACGUACAUGACCAAAACUGUAUUAAAAUUAAAUACGUACGUACAUGACCAACAAAACAAAAAACAGAAGUCAAAAGGGUUCAGCAAUGUUCAAGCCGUCCAUUGGAUUUGGUAGCGUGUGAACAAUUAAAAAAUGUAGCUCAACCACCUCGUCAGGCAAAAGAAUUAAGCCAAAACAAUUAUGUGCGUCGACGUUAAACUUUCUUGAUAAAACAUUUUAGACAUGUUUCACGUGAAGCCGUAGAGAUGAUUUUAAGUUGUAGUGCGCUACUGUGUGGAUUUUGGAACACACUUGUAGUGCGUAAAUUGCUUUUCAUUUGCCCGAGUAGAUUGUAUUGCGUACUUUUGAAUAAAUUUAAAAAAAAUGAAAAGCUAGGCUUUUAGCAAAAAUGUUGAUUAUAAAAAUCGACGAUUUAUAAAAAGAAAAUCAUCGACGAAGUCACGAAGUACAUACUAAAAAGAAAACGUGAUUCUCUGUUUGCACGGUUAAACCGGUUGAAAUAUUUUGUCACUAUUUCUUUCGUUAAACAGAACGAGACAAAUAAUCAUUUUAAAACACAGUAUCCUUGAAAAAUGAUUUUGAAAACAUUCAUCAACAUGGAAAUGAAGAAGCGGCGUAUCUCAUGUGGCACUAUCAAACUAUAAAACCCAAUAGUUAUUUAAAAUUUAUUCUUUAUUGAUGACAUAAACCAGUAAACUAUAGAUGUCAAAAAAAAACCCAAUAAACUAUAUGAGUGGGAAAUAGUGAAAGAUGAAAUCAUCGAAAAAGAGAAGAGUCGAUGGAAAAUAACCGUAAGAGAAGUUCAAAAAAAAAAUAACCGUAAGAGAUAGCAAUACAAUAACAAAGUUUCUUUUUCAAACCACUGUACGUUUAAAAUAUGUUUUCUUUUUUUGGUAAAAUCGUUUUAAAUAUGUUUUUUUAAAGGACUAAAACCCAAUAGUUAUUUGAAAUUUAUUCUUUAUUGAUGACAUAAAGCAGUAAACUAUAUGUGUGGGAAUGAGAAUAGUGAAAGAUGAAAUCAUCUUUCAGGUUUGUUACGGGAGUGGGCAGUGUUUAAUAUUAAAAACUAUAAGCAAACAAUUUGGUGGGUCGAACUCUGGUUGGAUUGACGAAUAUGCAAGUGCGUAACCAAGUGGUCUUAGUCUAAAGGUAAAGUGGUUCCAGCUGAAAUUUUUGCUUUGGGUUCGAUUCUCCUUAGCCAUCCAUAAACGCUUUAAGUAACCCGAAUUUUUAUGGGUUUCUUGGUGAUUAGUCUUUGGGUUUAGAAAGUUUUCGGGAUCAUACCAAAAUUAUCAAAAAAAAAAAAAAAAAACUAUAGGCCAACAUGAAUAUCGGAAUCCUUUUCAUUUGUAAUGUAUCAUGAUAUACAUUGAAUCUUAUAUUUUAAAGAACUUCUAAAUCAUAUACGACAUUAACAAUUAAGUUCUGCACUUUUUCUCCUCCACUGCCUCGUAGGGUAGGUUUCGAUAUUAUAAAUACAUAUAUAUGUCAUACUAACACGCAUACAUACAUACCAAAACCGUAACGAAAUUGAAUGGCUCUAAAUGUGAACUUAUCUAGUGUAUGCACAUAUUUUAAUGAACAAUUAAGUUCUGCACUUUUUCUCCUCCACUGCCUCGUAGGGUAGGUUUCUAUUGUUUUUAAGCAAUAGUCCAAGCGUCGGACCAAAUGACGUGUCGUAGUCCAACUAAUUAAAAGAACACGUGACAAGUAAUUUGAAUCAAGAGAUUAGAUACUAAUCGUCGUCAAAAAGUGUUCAAAAAGAUUAUACACGAAACAUACAGUUCCAUUCCAUUGAGAUUUUCUUUAUUAAGAAUUGAAUCCACGUUUAUAUAUUUAUUUGAGCGAUUUGCAUAGAAAUUAAAGAAAGAUGAAGUAAUUUGCGGAUAGGAAAAAAGGUGGUGGAGCCCAACACCAGUAAAUUUUAAACGACACCGUGAACCUGCUUCGUCUUCCUUGUUCAUCUCUGCCACCGCACAAACGUCUCUGCCACAAGCUUCCUCUUCUCCGCCGCAAAUCAUCGCAUCUGUCUCGGGUCACCGGAACAUCUCCGUCGUCUUUCUCUGCCGACGUCGUCAUGCUCGAAUUCAAGCAUCGCCGUUGUGCUCAUCAUCGCGGCCUCUGUCUCAUUACAAGAUGUCAGAGUAACAAUGGUGAUUUCUUGUAUUUUGCAACACAAGCCCCAAAUCUUUGGAUAUUCUCGAAUUGACCCCAAUAUUUCCAUGUGUACAAAUAGCUUCACAAAUCGGCCCCAGACUUUCAGAUUCUACAUUUCAGCCCUUUAAGAAUUCUUUGAAUGGACCUCAGAGUCUCAGAUGUUUUCAAUGUUACAAUUCAAGUUACAAUAUUAAGAUAACUAGUGUAUAUUACCGGCUAAAUAUAACCAAAAAGUCAAGUAAAAUCUUAACCGGCUAUUUGAUAAAUUACAUAAUUAAUUAGUAUAUAUUACCGGCUAACUAUAACAAUGUCGAGAUAAGUAGUAUAUUUUACCGGCUAACUAUAAUAAAAAGUCAAAUACAAUCUUAACCGGCUAAACAUUCAAACUUUUAAUCAUUUAUAUUGUGAUUUGUUAAUGAGUUAAUUUUAUGUUUAGCCGAACAUGUAAAUCUAAUCAUAUGUUUUGUGAUUUAUUAGAAUUAAUUUUUCGUUUAUCCGAAUUGAUACAAAAAUAACUACCAUCAACUGAUCAAAAUAGCCGGUUAAUAUAAAUUAAUUAUCAGCUAAACUUUAAAGUAUCCAACUAAAUCAGAAUAUAACCGUGCUAAUUUGUAAAACAUUCUAAAAAGUCACAUUAUAACCAGCUUACAUAUCAACAAUAUAAGUUAAGCUUACAUUGUUGGAAAACUCUAGAUUGUUUCAAAAAAUAAAAAGGGUUAAGCUAAAAUUAUCCAAAAUUAAAAGAAGGAAAAUAAAUACAAAAAUAUGUAUCUUGUUUAACCGGCUAACCAUAGAUAUAUCUCUAUUUCUUUCUAGGCGAGAAUCAUCAGAUGUAAUCUACUAAACUAUAAAACACAGCUUCUGUGAGCUUGAAUCGAUCAAACUGAGAAGACCCAACCACUUGAUUCAUCAUGCUCGAGCUGCAGCACUCGAUCCAGCCCAAGAUGGACGAAUUGAUUACUUACUGAAGACCGUUCUACACGAUUCAGUCCUCUCAGCCAAAACCUCACCCCGUGCGCCCACAAUCGAACGAUGGAGAUGUGACGGCGGCGAGAAGAGAAGAUGUCACGGAAGCGAGAAGGAAGACGCGGACACGGCAGCGCUCUGGUGCGGUGGAGAUGUGGUCACAACGGUGGGACGGAGACAUGCGAGAAGACAGACUGGUUAGGAGAGCACAUGUGAGAUUAAGAGAGAUGAGUAUAGUUACGAUGGAUAAACCAUAUAGAUUAAGAGAUAUUGGAGAUGGUUGCAACGGAGAAAACAAAGAGAAUGAGAGAGAUAAAAUGGUUAGUUUCAAAAAGAAAAAUAUAGCCGACAGGAUUGUAGAGGUUUUGAAUAGUGUAGUGUAGGUUGUGUUAUAGGAAUUAUAGGGGUAAGAUGGCCAUUAAAAAAGAACACAUCAGCAAUAAAGGCAGUUUUCCAUCCGUGCAAAAUAAGCAGUUAUGCUUGUAUAUGCACCGCAAUUUCUC